rnacentral:rRNA from 1 species
GACGAACGCUGGCGGCGUGCUUAACACAUGCAAGUCGAACGGAAAGGCCUCUUUCGGGGGGUACUCGAGUGGCGAACGGGUGAGUAACACGUGAGUAACCUGCCCUUGACUUUGGGAUAACUUCAGGAAACUGGGGCUAAUCCCGGAUAGGAGCUCCUGCUGCAUGGUGGGGGUUGGAAAGUUUCGGCGGUUGGGGAUGGACUCGCGGCUUAUCAGCUUGUUGGUGGGGUAGUGGCUUACCAAGGCUUUGACGGGUAGCCGGCCUGAGAGGGUGACCGGCCACAUUGGGACUGAGAUACGGCCCAGACUCCUACGGGAGGCAGCAGUGGGGAAUAUUGCACAAUGGGUGGAAGCCUGAUGCAGCAACGCCGUGUGCGGGAUGACGGCCUUCGGGUCGUAAACCGCUUUCGCUCAUGACGAGGCUUUGUGUGACGGUAGUGGGUAAAGAAGCACCGGCUAACUACGUG